ACUGCCAGCCUACACGUCUUAUACUGUGCCUGUUAACAGGGGUGAUAACAUAGCUGAUUAGCUUAAUCUAGGGUGGUUAUUGGGGUAAGGAGCGUGGUUAAGUCUACUGAUGUUAAUGUUAAAAAAAGUCCAAUGGCUGCACUGGUUUAUAGCGAGAGUACACUGCUGCUUGCACUCGCUUGCCUUCUGGAGGGGUGGUCUAAAAUUUAGGAGAACUCUUGGAGGCUCUCGAGUCUAUGUAUUGGGAGGAGGAGGAGGUGUCCUCAGAGCCUCUAUUACUCUGAGCUCUUCCUUUGAGAUCUCUCAAAUCCUAGCCAGGUCUGUUCCUGCUUAGCCUACAGAAAGAUUCCAUCAAGGCACAUGGUGCAUACAUAUGACAUCUGAGGAGACAAAGGCUGUCUCUUUUGCGUCAAGGGCUGCUGUGGUUCCCAGGGAGAGGAAGGAACCCCUGGCUUCUCCUUGUGUACCAGCCACGUACACCACUCGCACCUAGUGGUUGUCCCCUUGGCAGCUGCCAGUGGUGUAUCGCUGGGGCUGCCGAAUACACCAAUACAGGUACAGGACUCUGAAUACACGUAACAGGAGGGCUCUGAAUACAUGUACAGAAGGGCUGUGCCCUCAUCCCUGAGGGCAAAGGUGCCAUGGGCUGCCCUUGCUGGUGUAAACAGGGUCACUAGCACAGGGGAGCUCCCACCACUCUCACCACAGCCAGCUUCCCUGGGGUAAACCUAGCUCAGUGGCACUCGUGCAUUCAAGCACGGGUCUUCUCAUUAAGGCAUUUAUUAUACCUGAAACUUUAUCAGAUCCCCAGGUAGUCCAGGAACCAUCAGUGCCCUCAUAAAUCUCUUUUAUAGAAGGGCUGAUCUUUACUGAAAGCAAUUAAGCUGGCCCAGAGUUCACUUUUCUUUUUUAUUAACAACGAACAAAACCCAUCCUGAGGCUGGGAAUCAGUUCUUGCACUUGGCUCUGUUCCGUUUUCAUCUUAUCAGUCCUUCGAACAAGCCAGCAAAGAAUUUUUCUUUGUGCAUGAGGUACAAUAUUUUUUUGGCAGAGCCUGGGUAGGAGCAGGCUGGAGAGCGACACGGAAGGGGUGGAAGAGAGGAACAGGAAGGACAUUGUCCCAGCUCUGAGAGCUGGUGGUGAUAAGCAUUUGUCACAACAGCAAUUUGUAUUCAGGGCUAUGGCAGGGCUCUCGCUUUAAAAUUGAAUAUCUCUUUUCUCCUGUUCGGAGCACAGGGCUUAGCUCUGUGCCUGGGGACGUGACCCAUCUGAGACAGGCAACGUCCUUUCAAGUCAUGAUAUGAAGAUGUAUGCAGGCAAACUUGGGCAGUUUUUGAACCCAAUAAAAUGCAGUCAUUUUUCUAGGUUUCCCAGUAAUUGGGCUGGAAAUCCAAGUGUGUUUGCCUCCUUCCACUUCACUUGCUAUAAGAGGGGAGGGCAGAGCGGUGAAGGAGGACGUGACCCGAGUAGGCAAGAAAACUGGUAGCGUUGUGGGGUGGGUAAAAAGAAGGAAACCCAAAAUGGAGAGCCAUACACAGGCAGGCUUGGGGUGUCUGUGUCCAGUUUUUGAAGCUUUGCAUUUUGCUUUUGAGGCCUCGACCUCGCUGAGCACAGCACCGGAGCUGGAACAGCAGGGCCAUCCCAACUCCUGCCAGCUGAGUAAGCUCGAUGCUGCUUCAGCCCCAUCACUUGAAGGGUUAAUAAUGCCCUUUCUCUCGAUUCCUCGCCUGAUGGCAGCUGGGCUGAGAAGUACAUGAUCUCCAAGAUCUUUUCUUGUGGUUUGCCCGUUGCUAUGGGCUGGGCUGUAUUCAUCUCCUGGAGACACCAUUCAUUUCCUGGGUGCCAUUGUGAGAUUAAAUAUAUAACCCGGUGGCUGCUCACCCGCCUCCCGGGGGUGGGAAUGCCAGUUUGGCUCCUUUGUUUGAGCUUGCCCUGCCGUGCUGUCCUGGGAGAUGGAGCCAGCUCGUGGGACAAUGGAAAGCAUUUUGUUUCUAUCCUGGAGAUCAACCUGUUAUUGUUUGAAACUAAAGGGCCUUGGUAGGGUUGACCCAGCCAGGUGACCCGGCUGGGACAAUGUCUGUGGCUGCACAGUGCAAAUCCCGUCUUUGUCUUAGCAUGCUAACACAAACCCCGAGAUCCCCAGCAUGCUGUAAAACAUCCAGUGUGCUGCUCAUAAAUUGACUUUAAGUUCCCCAUUUACCUGAGCCAUAAAAACCCACAUCUCUCCCCUUCCUGUGGUGCAGAGCCCAGGGUUUUUUUGAGGAGCUGGAGAUGAUCUUGGUGCCCUGGCUCCUCCAGGGUCAUGUGUUUGUGCUUUCAUAUUUUGUCUGGUGACUGCAAGACACUGUAGGUGUUUCUGUGGCUGAAUGUUUUCAUUUUCCUGGCCAAAUGCACCGCCUGCCUAGCACACAGGCUGCAGGGAGGAACAGCCGUUCACUGGGAAACGUGUCAGAGCACGACAUACAUGCCUGUGCAUGCAUGCUGCAUGUGUACGUGCAUUCAUGCCGCGAUGGUGUGCUCAGCAAUUGGCCGAUGAAAUGGUAAAUAUUUGAGGUCGGGAAAGUCAGCACAUUCCCUGAACUCUGCCUGCUUGUUCAGGCUGUUAAGAGUGAGGGCUAAUAUUUGAGAGCACCACACCCAGGCACGGAGAGGGCUGCAGCCAGGGUUCAGCCCCACAACCUGGGCACACAGGCAGUUGGGAGAAGGCACGGGCUUUUCCAGCCCAAUUCCCAGCUGGCCAAGAAGUUGCACAAUUUAAUUGAUUUCGGUUCGGGAAUAGGUGUGUAUGGAUGGGAGGGAGGAGAGGGCAGAGGCCUGACGUCACCUAAAUGUCCUGUAGAAAACAGUGUUUUGUGUGAGCUGCUGCAGGGCUGAACUUUGAGGCAGAGAGGGUUAGAAGGUGCUUUCAAAGAUGCGAGGUUUUGAGGAAAAUCUAUAUGGCACAACCCCUUUCUUCCUCCUGAUGCUCCCCACACCUGUGAGAAGCCCUACAAGUGCACCUGGGAAGGCUGCGACUGGCGCUUUGCCCGCUCCGACGAGCUGACCCGGCACUACCGGAAGCACACGGG